rnacentral:rRNA from 1 species
GGUUAAGCGACUAAGCGUACACGGUGGAUGCCCUGGCAGUCAGAGGCGAUGAAGGGCGUGCUAAUCUGCGAUAAGCGCCGGUAAGGUGAUAUGAACCGUUAUAACCGGCGAUACCCGAAUGGGGAAACCCAGUGUGAUUCGUCACACUAUCAUUAACUGAAUCCAUAGGUUAAUGAGGCGAACCGGGGGAACUGAAACAUCUAAGUACCCCGAGGAAAAGAAAUCAACCGAGAUUCCCCCAGUAGCGGCGAGCGAACGGGGAGGAGCCCAGAGCCUGAAUCAGCAUGUGUGUUAGUGGAAGCGUCUGGAAAGGCGCGCGAUACAGGGUGACAGCCCCGUACACAAAAGCGCAUGUGCUGUGAGCUCGAUGAGUAGGGCGGGACACGUGGUAUCCUGUCUGAAUAUGGGGGGACCAUCCUCCAAGGCUAAAUACUCCUGACUGACCGAUAGUGAACCAGUACCGUGAGGGAAAGGCGAAAAGAACCCCGGCGAGGGGAGUGAAAAAGAACCUGAAACCGUGUACGUACAAGCAGUGGGAGCACCCUUUGGGGUGUGACUGCGUACCUUUUGUAUAAUGGGUCAGCGACUUAUAUUCUGUAGCAAGGUUAACCGAAUAGGGGAGCCGGAGGGAAACCGAGUCUUAAUUGGGCGUUAAGUUGCAGGGUAUAGACCCGAAACCCGGUGAUCUAGCCAUGGGCAGGUUGAAGGUUGGGUAACACUAACUGGAGGACCGAACCGACUAAUGUUGAAAAAUUAGCGGAUGACCUGUGGCUGGGGGUGAAAGGCCAAUCAAACCGGGAGAUAGCUGGUUCUCCCCGAAAGCUAUUUAGGUAGCGCCUCGUGAAUUCAUCUCCGGGGGUAGAGCACUGUUUCGGCUAGGGGGCCAUCCCGGCUUACCAACCCGAUGCAAACUGCGAAUACCGGAGAAUGUUAUCACGGGAGACACACGGCGGGUGCUAACGUCCGUCGUGAAGAGGGAAACAACCCAGACCGCCAGCUAAGGUCCCAAAGUCAUGGUUAAGUGGGAAACGAUGUGGGAAGGCCCAGACAGCCAGGAUGUUGGCUUAGAAGCAGCCAUCAUUUAAAGAAAGCGUAAUAGCUCACUGGUCGAGUCGGCCUGCGCGGAAGAUGUAACGGGGCUAAACCAUGCACCGAAGCUGCGGCAGCGACGCUUAUGCGUUGUUGGGUAGGGGAGCGUUCUGUAAGCCUGUGAAGGUGUGUCGUGAGGCAUGCUGGAGGUAUCAGAAGUGCGAAUGCUGACAUAAGUAACGAUAAAGCGGGUGAAAAGCCCGCUCGCCGGAAGACCAAGGGUUCCUGUCCAACGUUAAUCGGGGCAGGGUGAGUCGACCCCUAAGGCGAGGCCGAAAGGCGUAGUCGAUGGGAAACGGGUUAAUAUUCCCGUACUUGGUGUUACUGCGAAGGGGGGACGGAGAAGGCUAUGUUGGCCGGGCGACGGUUGUCCCGGUUUAAGCGUGUAGGUGUGUGUUCCAGGUAAAUCCGGUUCACUUUAACACUGAGGCGUGACGACGAGGCACUACGGUGCUGAAGCAACAAAUGCCCUGCUUCCAGGAAAAGCCUCUAAGCAUCAGGUAACAUCAAAUCGUACCCCAAACCGACACAGGUGGUCAGGUAGAGAAUACCAAGGCGCUUGAGAGAACUCGGGUGAAGGAACUAGGCAAAAUGGUGCCGUAACUUCGGGAGAAGGCACGCUGACACGUAGGUGAAGUGAUUUACUCAUGGAGCUGAAGUCAGUCGAAGAUACCAGCUGGCUGCAACUGUUUAUUAAAAACACAGCACUGUGCAAACACGAAAGUGGACGUAUACGGUGUGACGCCUGCCCGGUGCCGGAAGGUUAAUUGAUGGGGUCAGCGCAAGCGAAGCUCCUGAUCGAAGCCCCGGUAAACGGCGGCCGUAACUAUAACGGUCCUAAGGUAGCGAAAUUCCUUGUCGGGUAAGUUCCGACCUGCACGAAUGGCGUAAUGAUGGCCAGGCUGUCUCCACCCGAGACUCAGUGAAAUUGAACUCGCUGUGAAGAUGCAGUGUACCCGCGGCAAGACGGAAAGACCCCGUGAACCUUUACUAUAGCUUGACACUGAACAUUGAGCCUUGAUGUGUAGGAUAGGUGGGAGGCUUUGAAGCGUGGACGCCAGUCUGCGUGGAGCCGACCUUGAAAUACCACCCUUUAAUGUUUGAUGUUCUAACGUGGACCCGUAAUCCGGGUUGCGGACAGUGUCUGGUGGGUAGUUUGACUGGGGCGGUCUCCUCCUAAAGAGUAACGGAGGAGCACGAAGGUUGGCUAAUCCUGGUCGGACAUCAGGAGGUUAGUGCAAUGGCAUAAGCCAGCUUGACUGCGAGCGUGACGGCGCGAGCAGGUGCGAAAGCAGGUCAUAGUGAUCCGGUGGUUCUGAAUGGAAGGGCCAUCGCUCAACGGAUAAAAGGUACUCCGGGGAUAACAGGCUGAUACCGCCCAAGAGUUCAUAUCGACGGCGGUGUUUGGCACCUCGAUGUCGGCUCAUCACAUCCUGGGGCUGAAGUAGGUCCCAAGGGUAUGGCUGUUCGCCAUUUAAAGUGGUACGCGAGCUGGGUUUAGAACGUCGUGAGACAGUUCGGUCCCUAUCUGCCGUGGGCGCUGGAGAACUGAGGGGGCUGCUCCUAGUACGAGAGGACCGGAGUGGACGCAUCACUGGUGUUCGGGUUGUCAUGCCAAUGGCACUGCCCGGUAGCUAAAUGCGGAAGAGAUAAGUGCUGAAAGCAUCUAAGCACGAAACUUGCCCCGAGAUGAGUUCUCCCUGAGACUUAGAGUCUCCUGAAGGAACGUUGAAGACGACGACGUUGAUAGGCCGGGUGUGUAAGCGCAGCGAUGCGUUGAGCUAACCGGUACUAAUGAACCGUGAGGCUUAACCUU